AUUGAACGCUGGCGGCAGGCCUAACACAUGCAAGUCGAGCGGAUGAAGGGAGCUUGCUCCUGGAUUCGGCGGCGGACGGGUGAGUAAUGCCUAGGAAUCUGCCUGGUAGUGGGGGAUAACGUCCGGAAACGGGCGCUAAUACCGCAUACGUCCUGAGGGAGAAAGUGGGGGAUCUUCGGACCUCACGCUAUCAGAUGAGCCUAGGUCGGAUUAGCUAGUUGGUGGGGUAAAGGCCUACCAAGGCGACGAUCCGUAACUGGUCUGAGAGGAUGAUCAGUCACACUGGAACUGAGGCACGGUCCAGACUCCUACGGGAGGCAGCAGUGGGGAAUAUUGGACAAUGGGCGAAAGCCUGAUCCAGCCAUGCCGCGUGUGUGAAGAAGGUCUUCGGAUUGUAAAGCACUUUAAGUUGGGAGGAAGGGCAGUAAGUUAAUACCUUGCUGUUUUGACGUUACCAACAGAAUAAGCACCGGCUAACUUCGUG
rnacentral:rRNA from 1 species